CUACCAACCAGCUGAGGACACUGAGGUGCAA
rnacentral:piRNA from 1 species